AUGUUGCUGUAUCUGCAGUUGUCUCCAUCUGGCAAAGGUCUGCUUCGAUGCCCUAUUACUCCAAUCAGCCGCUAUAUGCUCAUUUUACUGAUUUCCUCAGGUUGUGCUGUGAAUCAGUCUCCAGACAUGGUGAUCAAGGAGGGAGGAUCAGUAUCCCUGAACUGCUCCCAAAGAAAAACCACUUAUAGUUACAUGUACUGGUAUAAACAACAAAGGAAGAAGGAUACACAGCUUCAACUUGUGGGUUUUUUCAUGGAAGGUUUAUCCCAGAAGUCUGAUAUUGAGACAGCAUUUCAAGGACGUUUCAAAAGCAAGGGGAUGAAGGCUUACGCAGUGUCCUUGUUGCUGGAGAGCGCUCAGCUGGGAGAUGCUGGCACUUACUUCUGUGCAAAGCAAGAUCACACAGUGAGGCAACUGGUGAGGAAACCAGACAGAAACCUCCUCGUAGAGAAAUGCAAGCAUACACAAGUGUCGAAGAUGUUUUGA